rnacentral:tRNA from 1 species
GGGACAGUGGCUCAGUGGUAGAGCGCUUGCCUAGCAUGCAUGAAGCCCUGGGUUCCAUUCCUCAGCACCA